AUGGGCCCAGAUCGUUUACCGUGAAAAAAUUAGAGUGUUCAAAGCAGGCAGAUCCAAUUUUCUGCCACCGAAUACAUUAGCAUGGGAUAAUGGAAUAGGACCCUGUCCUCCUAUUUUCAGUUGGUUUUGGCAGCGCGAGGACUAGGGUAAUGAUUAAUAGGGAUAGUUGGGGGCAUUAAUAUUUAAUUGUCAGAGGUGAAAUUCUUGGAUUUAUGAAAGAUUAACUUCUGCGAAAGCAUCUGCCAAGGAUGUUUUCAUUAAUCAAGAACGAAAGUUAGGGGAUCGAAGACGAUCAGAUACCGUCGUAGUCUUAACCAUAAACGAUGCCGACCAGCGAUUAGGAGACGUUGAAUACAAAACACCACCAUCGGUGCGGUCGUCCUUGGCGUUGGUCUUCAAAAGCCAGCGCGGGGGUGGCUUAGCCCGGUGGCACCGGUGAAUGACUCCCCUAGCACUUUGUGAGAAAGUUUUU
rnacentral:rRNA from 1 species